AAUCGUGAGGAAAAAUUUGUACUGAUUGCAACCUCAAUAAAAAAUGCUAAAGCAGAAAAC
rfam:Flavobacterium terrae strain DSM 18829 genome assembly, contig: Ga0131135_101